GACGAACGCUGGCGGCGUGCUUAACACAUGCAAGUCGAACGGUAAGGCCCUUCGGGGUACACGAGUGGCGAACGGGUGAGUAACACGUGGGUGAUCUGCCCUGCACUUCGGGAUAAGCCUGGGAAACUGGGUCUAAUACCGGAUCGGACCACUGCCUGCAUGGGUGGGGGUGGAAAGCUUUUGCGGUGUGGGAUGGGCCCGCGGCCUAUCAGCUUGUUGGUGGGGUGAUGGCUGACCAAGGCGACGACGGGUAGCCGGCCUGAGAGGGUGACCGGCCACACUGGGACUGAGAUACGGCCCAGACUCCUACGGGAGGCAGCAGUGGGGAAUGUUGCACAAUGGGCGCAAGCCUGAUGCAGCGACGCCGCGUGAGGGAUGACGGCCUUCGGGUUGUAAACCUCUUUCAGCACCGACGAAGCGCAAGUGACGGUAGGUGCAGAAGAAGGACCGGCCAACUACGUGCCAGCCGCCGCCGUAA
rnacentral:rRNA from 1 species